GGUGGGGGGGGCGGGGGGGGGGGAGUGGGGGCAGUGGAAGCAGUGGGGUGGGGAGUGCAAGGGUCUUCACCUGUGGCUACAUCCAGCUUUUCCUUCAGCCAGACAAUCCCGAAUGGCUACUUCUUGGGGAGGGAAAGGAAAGUCCCUCGCAGGAGCCCCACCCAGCACCUCCACAGGCCAGGCAUCUAUCCAGGUCUCCCCAGGUGGUGGCUGCAGUGCUAGGAGCCCCCUCGACAGAGGCAGGUACGCGGCCCAGGAGGGGUCUCUAGCCUGGUUCCCUUCCUCAUCCUCCUUCACACUUUCUUCCCCUCCAAGCCUCUGCCCUGUGGCCCACACUCUGGGUCUAGAAACUCCCCCAGCCCACAGGAGCCACUCUUCCCUGCAGGACACAGGUGACAAGAGCAUUUCCCCCACAGCACCUUCCCAGGGAGAAGAGCUCCCUCUCUUCCCUCCUUAUGGCCCCUUGCCCUUCCAACCCCCUGAAUGUGACCCCAGAAGCUCCAAGGGAUUACCAGAGGCGGGGUCUGUAGGUCCUUGGGGAAACCGAGCCCUGCCCUCGGGCUGAUGGCGUGUGACCACUGACCACUGCGCAUCCAGAUUAACUGUCCUCAGCCAGACACAUAUCCCAGCCAACCACGGCAGGUCAGAGGACGGACGAAGCCACCAGAGCAAGGGUGGCUGUCUCCCACACCCCAGGCAGUGGCUGGGAGGCGGGCACAGAGCCUGGGUUGGGGCUGUGAGGGGGCACAGCUCCCAGGGUGGGGGCCUUGGCGGUAGGGAGUGCCUAGUCCCAGGCUGGGUUGUGACCCAAACUCCUCUGGGCCCAGCCUUCACUCCCAGGCCCUGCCCUGCCCUGCCCAUGAGGAGUCCGAGGAGCGAGAAGGCUGGGGCUGGGGCCUCAGGGUUGUGGGCACCCAGGCCCAGGAGCCUCCCAAGGACAAGGAGCCCCUGCUGUCAUCCCCUGGGAUGCAGGAGAAGGCCCGGCCCUCCUGUUUCUGGUUCUCUCCAGGGUCUCCUGGUGGUUCUAAGGAAGAGCAGCUGGGUCCUAGGGGACCACCUAUGCUGGAGUUUCCAUGUCCAGCCCUGAUCCUUUUAAGAAAACCAAAACAGCACUUUGGGAGGCGGGGGUAGGUGGAUCACUAGGUCAGGAGUUUGAGACCAGCCUGGCCAACAUAGUGAAAUCCCAUCUCUACUAAAAAAAAAAAAAAAAAAAAAAUUAGCCAGGUAUGGUGGCGCAUGUCUGUAAUCUCAGCUACUCUGGAGGCCAAGGCAGGAGAAUCGCUUGAAUCUGGGAGGCGGAGGUUGCAGUAAGUAAGAUCGCACCACGACAGAGCAAGCCUCUGUCUCAGGGGAAAAAAAGAAAGACAAGAAAACCAAAACAGACAGUUUCCAAAACCCAACCCCACAGGCCAAGUACUGGAUUUCUCACAUUUCUGAAGGUGGUGCCUGCCCGAACCACCUCUGUGGGGAGCAACCUUCAGGGGCCUGAUCCAGCCAGGGCACCCCCUUAUGCCAUGGCACCCCCCCAUGCCACGGCACCCCUUUAUGCUGAGGCACUCCCCUAUGCCGGGGCACUUUCCCUAUGCCAUGGCACUCCCCCAUGCCCUAUGCCAGGGCACCCCCCCAUGCCACGGCACUCCCCCUAUGCCAGGGCACUCCCCCUAUGCCACGGCACUCCCCCUAUGCCACGGCACUCCCCCCUGCCACGGCACUCCCCUAUGCCAGAGCACUCCCCCUAUGCCAAGACACUCCUCUAUGCCAGGGUACUCCCCUAUGCCGGGGCACCCCCCAUGCCACAGCACUCCCCCUAUGCCAGGGCACUCCCCCAUGUCAGGGCACUCCCUCUAUGCCAGGGCACUCCCCCAUGCCAUGACACACCCCUAUGCCACGGCACUCCCCCAUGCCAGGACACUCCCCCUAUGCCACCGCACUCCCCUUAUGCCAGGAUACUCCCCUAUGCUGGGGCACUCCCCUAUGCCGGGGCACUCACCCUAUGUACAGACGGACACCAGGGAGCCAGGGCCACCAGGACCUCUCAGACCAGCAGCAACUAACUGGCAGUUCCAUCUACAGGUAUGGGGUUCUGCAAUAGUGCAUGUGGAGCAUGUGUGUGUGUGCUGUGUGUGGUCGUGUGAGUGCAUGUGGAGUGUGUGUGUGCUGCGUGUGCCAUGUGGGUGCAUGUGGAGUGUGUGUGUGUGCUGUGUGUGCUCGUCUGGGUGCAUGUGAAGUGUGUGUGUGCUGUGUGUGUUCGUCUGGGUGCAUGUGGAGUGUGUGUGCUGUGUGUGUUCGUCUGGGUGCAUGUGGAGUGUGUGUGCUGUGUGUGUUCGUCUGGGUGCAUGUGAAGUGUGUGUGUGCUGUGUGCACUCGUCUGGGUGCAUGUGAAGUGUGUGUGUGCUCAUCUGAGUGCAUGUGGAGUGUGUGUGCUGUGUGUGCUCGUGUGGGUGCAUGUGGAGUGUGUGUGUGUGCAGUGUGGUCGUGUGGGUGCAUGUGGAGUGUGUGUGUGUGUGCUCGUCUGGGUGCAUUUGAAGUGUGUGUGUGCUCGUGUGGGUGCAUGUGGAGUGUGUGUGUGCUGUGUGUAGUCGUGCAAGUGCAUGUGGAGUGUGUGUGCUGUCUGUGCUCAUGUGGGUGCAUGUGGAGUGUGUGUGCUGUGUGUGCUCAUGUGUGUGCAUGUGGAGUGUGUGUGUGUGCAGUGUGGUCGUGUGGGUGCAUGUGGAGUGUGUGUGUGUGCUCGUCUGGGUGCAUUUGAAGUGUGUGUGUGCUCGUGUGGGUGCAUGUGGAGUGUGUGUGUGCUGUGUGUAGUCGUGCAAGUGCAUGUGGAGUGUGUGUGCUGUCUGUGCUCAUGUGGGUGCAUGUGGAGUGUGUGUGUGCUGUCUGUGCUCAUGUGUGUGCAUGUGGAGUGUGUGUGUGCAGUGUGGUCGUGUGGGUGCAUGUGGAAUGUGUGUGUGUGCUGUGUGUGGUUGUGUGGGUGCAUGUGGAGUGUGUGUGUGCUGUGUGUGCUCAUGUGGGUGCAUGUGGAGUGUGUGUGUGCUGUGUGUGCUCGUGUGGGUGCAUGUGGAGUGUGUGUGCUGUGUGUCAUGUGAGUGCAUGUGAAGUGUAUGUGUGCUGUGUGUGGUCGUGUGAGUGCAUAUGGAGUGUGUGUGUGUGUGUGGUUGUGGGUGCAUGUGGAGUGUGUGUGUGCUGUGUCUGGUCGUGUGAGUGCAUGUGGAGUGUGUGUGUGUGCUGUGUGUGGUUGUGAGUGCAUGUGGAGUGUGUGUGUGUACUGUGUGUGGUCGUGUGAGUGCAUGUGGAGUGUGUGUGUGUACUGUGUGUGGUUGUGUGAGUGCAUGUGGAGUGUGUGUGUGUCCUGUGUGUGGUCGUGUCAGUGCAUGUGGAGUGUGUGUGUGCUGUGGUCUUGUGAAUGCAUGUGGAGUGUGUGUGCUGUGUGUCAUCGUGUGAGUGCAUGUGGAGUGUGUGCAUGCUGUGGGUACAGGAUACAUGAAUGCAUGCAUGUUGUAUGCAUGGCUGUGAUGUGUGUUCAUACUGUGGGUUUAGUGUGUGCAUGCUCUGAGUGAUGUAUGUGCAUGUACGUGGUGUUUGCAUGUGGUGUGUGUGCAUGUGGUGUGAGCACAUGCAUGUAGUUUCUGUGUGCAUGAAGUAUGUGUGCAUGCAUGUGCUGUGUUUGCAUUUGGUGUGUGCACAUGCUGUGGAUGGCAUGGGCAUGGGGAGGAGACACGCAGACAGGCAGAGCAAGCACAGACCAGUGGAAGGUGUGCUCUGGCAGCCUUCUGAUUGCUUUUUCCCCAGAACUGGCCUUUGCACCUCCUCCACUGGCCGCCCCACUUCCUGGGACCUGGAGCCGUGGCAGCAGAGGAAAGGCAAAGGUCCCACUGGUACCCAUCCAGAGGGCCAGGAUGGGACGGGGGCUUCAGAGGCACCCAGAUUCUGCUGAAGGUGCCAGGCCCCUGACGGCAGCACAGGCGAGGGGGCUGGGGACACAGUGGGUGUCGAGUUUCCACCCAGCCCAUAGUUCAUAGAUGUGAGUUAAAAGGCCCCCUCCCUCCACACCUUGGUGUUUACAAGAGAAAGCUCUUCCUGUGGGCCUGGGAGAGGCUGCUGGCCACACACAAGAGGAGAUAAAAGUCUGUCAGGAAGGGAGUGCAGAUUCCUGGAAAACAGGCAAAGCUCAGAGGUCAUCUAAGGACCCUGGCCUCUGUCAACUCACCUCAGCCUCCUCUUUCUACAUGGUUUGCAGCCCCAGAACCCCUCCUGCUCCAGGCAGUUCCAGGAAGACAGAAGUGAGGACCCAGGAGAGGGUGGAGCAGGGUAGGCAAGCUGGGCAAAGACCCCCUGACACCAGGGACCCUGUGUACAAUGGGAGAGAAGACACCAGCGGACCACCUUCUCCCAACAAAGGCUCUGACCUCAACCAAAGGAGAAAAAGCAGUAACGCACUAAAGAGGGGUGCAGGGAAAAAGAAAGUGCCUUCAGACAGUGGGAAUUGAGUGUGCCAGGGUCCUGAGACAAGCUUGGAGUACCAGGACCCCCAUAAAUCAAGAUUAGCACCUUGUGCCUACCUGGGUUCCCUGUUCUGUUCCUUGGUCUAUGUGCCUGUGUCUAUGUUCCUUGGUCUUUAUGCCAAUACCAUGCUGUUUCAAUUA